rnacentral:rRNA from 1 species
UACGGAGGGUGCAAGCGUUGUUCGGAAUUACUGGGCGUAAAGGGCGUGUAGGCGGUAAUGUAAGUCAGACGUGAAAUCCUUCGGCUCAACUGAAGAACUGCGUCUGAUACUGCAUGACUAGAGUGCAGAAGAGGGAAACGGAAUUCCUGGUGUAGAGGUGAAAUUCGUAGAUAUCAGGAGGAACACCGGUGGCGAAGGCGGUUUCCUGGUCUGACACUGACGCUGAGGCGCGAAAGCGUGGGGAGCAAACAGGAUUAGAUACCCUGGUAGUCCACGCUGUAAACGGUGGGUACUGGGUGUGGGAGGUGUAAUGCCUUCUGUGCCGAAGCUAACGCGUUAAGUACCCCGCCUGGGGAGUACGGCCGCAAGGUUG